rnacentral:rRNA from 1 species
CUGCGAUAAGCGCCGGUAAGGUGAUAUGAACCGUUAUAACCGGCGAUACCCGAAUGGGGAAACCCAGUGUGAUUCGUCACACUAUCAUUAACUGAAUCCAUAGGUUAAUGAGGCGAACCGGGGGAACUGAAACAUCUAAGUACCCCGAGGAAAAGAAAUCAACCGAGAUUCCCCCAGUAGCGGCGAGCGAACGGGGAGGAGCCCAGAGCCUGAAUCAGCAUGUGUGUUAGUGGAAGCGUCUGGAAAGGCGCGCGAUACAGGGUGACAGCCCCGUACACAAAAGCGCAUGUGCUGUGAGCUCGAUGAGUAGGGCGGGACACGUGGUAUCCUGUCUGAAUAUGGGGGGACCAUCCUCCAAGGCUAAAUACUCCUGACUGACCGAUAGUGAACCAGUACCGUGAGGGAAAGGCGAAAAGAACCCCGG